rnacentral:lncRNA from 1 species
AUUUUAUUUCAGAUCUGAAAAUUCAAAAAUCUAAUCUUUUAAUUUUCUGUUUCGUUUCAGAUCUAAUUGUUUAGGGUUUUUGUAGGAGUUUCUCUUGACUUGGCAACUCGAUCUUGGUCCGCGCGCAACCCCGUAUCAUUUGGUAUCAGAUUUUGGGCGUUUUGGGUGUUCUUGGUUGAUUUCUAAACUGAUCUCUAUUUUUUAAAGCAUAAACAGCAGUUUUAC